AUUGAACGCUGGCGGCAGGCCUAACACAUGCAAGUCGAGCGGAUGAGAAGAGCUUGCUCUUCGAUUCAGCGGCGGACGGGUGAGUAAUGCCUAGGAAUCUGCCUGGUAGUGGGGGACAACGUUUCGAAAGGAACGCUAAUACCGCAUACGUCCUACGGGAGAAAGCAGGGGACCUUCGGGCCUUGCGCUAUCAGAUGAGCCUAGGUCGGAUUAGCUAGUUGGUGAGGUAAUGGCUCACCAAGGCGACGAUCCGUAACUGGUCUGAGAGGAUGAUCAGUCACACUGGAACUGAGACACGGUCCAGACUCCUACGGGAGGCAGCAGUGGGGAAUAUUGGACAAUGGGCGAAAGCCUGAUCCAGCCAUGCCGCGUGUGUGAAGAAGGUCUUCGGAUUGUAAAGCACUUUAAGUUGGGAGGAAGGGCAUUAACCUAAUACGUUAGUGUUUUGACGUUACCGACAGAAUAAGCACCGGCUAACUCUGUGCCAGCAGCCGCGGUAAUACAGAGGGUGCAAGCGUUAAUCGGAAUUACUGGGCGUAAAGCGCGCGUAGGUGGUUUGUUAAGUUGGAUGUGAAAGCCCCGGGCUCAACCUGGGAACUGCAUCCAAAACUGGCAAGCUAGAGUACGGUAGAGGGUGGUGGAAUUUCCUGUGUAGCGGUGAAAUGCGUAGAUAUAGGAAGGAACACCAGUGGCGAAGGCGACCACCUGGACUGAUACUGACACUGAGGUGCGAAAGCGUGGGGAGCAAACAGAAUUAGAUACCCUGGUAGUCCACGCCGUAAACGAUGUCAACUAGCCGUUGGAAUCCUUGAGAUUUUAGUGGCGCAGCUAACGCAUUAAGUUGACCGCCUGGGGAGUACGGCCGCAAGGUUAAAACUCAAAUGAAUUGACGGGGGCCCGCACAAGCGGUGGAGCAUGUGGUUUAAUUCGAAGCAACGCGAAGAACCUUACCAGGCCUUGACAUGCAGAGAACUUUCCAGAGAUGGAUUGGUGCCUUCGGGAACUCUGACACAGGUGCUGCAUGGCUGUCGUCAGCUCGUGUCGUGAGAUGUUGGGUUAAGUCCCGUAACGAGCGCAACCCUUGUCCUUAGUUACCAGCACGUAAUGGUGGGCACUCUAAGGAGACUGCCGGUGACAAACCGGAGGAAGGUGGGGAUGACGUCAAGUCAUCAUGGCCCUUACGGCCUGGGCUACACACGUGCUACAAUGGUCGGUACAGAGGGUUGCCAAGCCGCGAGGUGGAGCUAAUCUCACAAAACCGAUCGUAGUCCGGAUCGCAGUCUGCAACUCGACUGCGUGAAGUCGGAAUCGCUAGUAAUCGCGAAUCAGAAUGUCGCGGUGAAUACGUUCCCGGGCCU
rnacentral:rRNA from 1 species